GCCUUCGUGGUGUAGUGGUCAGCAAGCUCGAUGUGUAUUCGAGAGGUCCGUGGUUCGAAUCCCAGUGAGGGCA
rfam:Stegodyphus mimosarum contig120801, whole genome shotgun sequence.